rnacentral:lncRNA from 1 species
UUCUUUUUCCGCAUAAAAAGGGAGAUUUUGAAGGGGAGUUCAUGAUAUCUACAUAUUUUAAAGUAAAAGGUUGGAAAUAUUCCUCUUCCUUAAAUUUUCUUAAGUAGAAGAACUCAUAAAGUGAUCAUUAGGAGUGAGUCUCUAAAUAGCUAUAUCUUCAUUGUCCCUAUUUCCAAUUUGAAUGUCAUCGAUGAUAUUAAUGAUAUUUCCUUGCACGAUGAUGAGAAGUUUUUCAAUGUCCCAUUCAUGUUCUUGGAGAAAUCCUAUAGCCUCAUAUUUCCAGAUUUAGGAUUAAGAUUGGCUAGGAAGUUAAGAGAGCCCUGAAAGGUCCAAUUAUCUCACCAAAGAAAGCAUUUCGCUGGGUGGAUCUUCUAGCAAAUUUGUUCCUCAACCUUGUCUCUAAUAUAAAGUAAUCCUUUCUAGCUACUGGAAUCUUUGGAAUUUUCCCUCUAAUAUAAAGUAACCCUUUCUAGCUACUGGAAUCUUUGGAAUUCUUCACCUUGGGCAUAGAAUUACUUCUCUGAUAAUAUUUAGACCUCAGGAAUUCAACUCAAAGAGAUUUUUCUAUUCAUAACCUCCACCACCUUUUGACAGAGAAAGCUCAAAAAAUAUCUAACAAUUUUUAGAAGCCAACCCCCUUUUCCUUAGGGAAUCUCAUGUUAUCCCAAGAGGAUUAGUGAUAAUUAUUUUUGCCUCCAUUUCGCCCCCAGAAAUUGAGAAAUGCAUCUUAAUUUGAUUAAAAAUUAUAACUAGGGGCAUCAGUACAACAAGGAUAUGUAAUGAUUGUGAUUGUAGGAUGUGUUUGAUUAUAAUCGCCUUACUACCGGGAGAAAGAAACCUUCCUUGCAUGCCAACCUGCAAAUUUAUUCAUAAUUUCUUAGAGAUAUUAGCAAAAUAGCAAAUUUUCUUCAUCCCUAAAUAGAUCGAGCAUCCUAGAUAGGUAAAUGAAAAAAAGGGAGUUUUUGUAUCUGAUCCAUCUUUUUAUUCUUCAAUCAAUGCCUCUACAGUUUUGUUAUGAGUAAGGAAUAAAAUUCUGUCAUUGUUGAUUUCUUGCCCUGAAACCCUCUGGUAAUUCCUCAGUUAUUUCAUGAUAAAAUUCAUAGACAUUCUAUCUCCAGAAGUGAACAAGACUAAAUCAUUUGUAUACCCCAAGUGGUUAAUUUGGG